CGUGUGCACUUGGAAAACAGAUUUUGUUUACCACCACCUAUAAAUUUUUGUGAAGUGUCAAUAUUCCAACUUAAAAAAGAAAGAUUUGUUACUUCUCUUGCAAAAUAAAUCAGAAGAUUGGGUCUUCGUUGCACCAAGGAAUACUGCUGUCCCACCGUGUGGCAGGAGCGAGGUCACUCUGAGAGGAAUCUCAGCUUCAGAACAUCCAGAUAUCCUCACAUCUCCCUCUGCCCCAGAUCAGCUCCUGUUCUCCAGUGGAGCUAUUCACACUCCAGGUCAUCUUUGAGGCUUGUGGGAGUUACUUCAACUCUCAUACCUCUGCAGCCAAGGAAGACUUGGGACAAAGAAGAUCUGAGACCUCUUGUCUUUCCAGGCCCAGUGGCCAUCCUUUAGGCCUCCUGGACUUUGACAGUUCUUUGGCACAAGGCAACCCAAACUAACUAGAUAAUAUCCAGACCCAGGAGCCAGAAUGUGCUAGUCCAUUUUUGUAUUACUAUAAAGGAAUAGUUGAGACUGGGUAACUUAUAAGGAAAAUAGGUUUAGUUUACUCACGGUUCUGCAGGCUGUACAGAAAGCGUGGCAACAGCAUCUGCUCCUGUUGAGGGUCUCAGAAAGCUACAAUCAUGGCAGAAGGCAAAGCAGGGGAGCAGGUGCAUCAUGUGGCAAGGGACAACAAGCAAGAGAGGAGGUGCCAUGCUCUUUUAAACAACCAGAUCUCAUCUCACCACCAAGGAGACAGCAUUAAGCCAUUUAUGAGAGAUCCACCACCAUGAUCCAAUUACCUCCCACUAGGCCCCACCUCCAACACUGGAAAUUACAUUUCAACGUGAGAUUUGGAGAAGACAAACAUCCAAACUAUAUCACAGAGUAAGAGGAUGGAGGAGAAAUACCAGCUCUGGGAACUUCUUCCCCUAGAGAGAUUCAGAAGACCUAGUAACCGUAACAGAGGAGAUCCUGCACGGGCUCAGGAAAAGCUGAUUUAUUACUCAAAGAUUGGCAUCAAGGAUGAACAGAAGCUUAAGAUCCAUGACACAUGUACAUAGAAUUGUACUUCCUGGCUCAUCUUUGGCUGAGUGGGGCCAUGUGACUAGUCAUAGCCAAGGAAUUAUGACUUCUGCAUUGAAGCAUUUAAUCAUCUGGUUCAAGGCCCUCCAGAACUCAUUUCCCUGUGGCACAGCAACUGGAAAUAUUUAAGGUCAUAUUCUGGUUCAAGCAGACCAGAGUGAGGAGAAUGUUCUGCUCCAUGAAGACAUUCAGGGAUCCAGCCUCCUUCUAUUUAGCAGCUUCAGCAUCUUCUGGGAUUUCAGAAUAACACGCUGGAUCCCCUGCACCUGCCCUGUGGAUGGAAGGAAAUAAGUACAGAGAAGUUUUCUGUAAAAUGGAAAUGAGUAUCAUGAAGUUUUCAAUGAACAGUGUGAAACAGAAGAAAACAUCAGCAUUCAUUAGGUCCCAGACCUCUUUGAGAAUCUGAUGAAAUUCUGGACAACCUCUCCUCCCACAAACAAGAUGUACUUGAAUACCUACACAUAAAAUGUUGCAUUCAAUUUUAGAAUGUGAAGAGAUCACUUGAGGCCUAUCCAGAGGGCUCUAAGGUAGGACUUGGCUGGUGCAGUAUUGGUGGCUGCUGGGUCAGAUGAGCUCCCUGCUACUCAGAGAAACAAUCAAUGUUUGCAACCACUAAGAGGGACUUUUGUUAUUACCGCCUAUCCUGACAGAUUCAGGCUAUGACUAUUUAAGGGGAAUGAGUGUAAUAGCAGCCUUGCAGAGUCAUCAUGAGGACCCAGUGUAACCAUCUGCACAUGAGACAGGAGCAGCCAGCACCACGGAACAAGAUAUAAGAAAACUCUGAAAAAUGAAGAAAAGAAGGGAAACUGGCUAGGGACUUCAGAACCUAAGGAACAACAUGGGGAAUUGUUUGAGCUCCUUAUAUAUUCUGGCUAUGAAUCCCUCAUCAGAUGGGGAAGAAACUGAGUCUUGAAGAGAUUGUGUAACUUUGCAGUGAAUGCAAGCACUGGUAAUUACAAAGUGUGAAUUAAAAACCCAAAAUGCUGCCUGCUAGCAGAAUGGUAAAUUAUUUAACCUCUGUAAGCCUAUGUUUCCUUACUUGUAAAACAAAUAAAACAGUUCCUG